UUUAAUUUUGGCAGCGGGAAGAGACAGCAGAGAGGAGCCUCGUCCAUUUGGUUAGCUAUUGUGUGGUCAAUAUGGUUAUUGCGUAAUGAGGUGGUUUUUAGAGCGGCUGAGGUGGAUAUCCCGUCGAUCUUAGAGCUGAUUAAGUGGAGAUCAUGGCAUUGGAUUAAAGCUAAGUUGAGUGGAUUUUCUUGUUCGUUGUUUGAAUGGUCUAGACACCCGCUUAUUUGUCUCCAAGAACUGUAAUGGGAUUGCAGGUUUUAGAUUUUUGUAGCUAGGUUAUACUUCUGGGUUGUAGUUUAUUAGCUUUUUUCUUGUUUUUUCUUUUCUCUUUGUAUUAAGGGUUGGAGUACCCCUUGUACUCCCUUUAAUGCAUUCUUUUGCCUAUCAAAAAAAAAA
rnacentral:lncRNA from 1 species